rnacentral:rRNA from 1 species
UACGGGGGGAGCAAGCGUUGUUCGGAUUUACUGGGCGUAAAGGGCGCGUAGGCGGCCUCUGCAAGUCGACUGUGAAAUCUCCGGGCUUAACCCGGAAAGGUCAGCCGAUACUGCAGGGCUAGAGUGCAGAAGGGGCAACUGGAAUUCUCGGUGUAGCGGUGAAAUGCGUAGAUAUCGAGAGGAACACCUGCGGCGAAGGCGGGUUGCUGGGCUGACACUGACGCUGAGGCGCGAAAGCGUGGGGAGCAAACAGG